CCAUUUCACCUGUUACUGAUGUUGAUGAAGACAAGGCCUUUGUAAUUAAAGCAUGCCCUGGAGUUGAGGCAUGAACAUUUCGGUGUUGAAGAGUGCUGGGAAAUGGCUUCACAGCCUGCCUUCAGAAGGGGAUAGGAGUGUUGCAGCCUACUGUAAAUGAUGUUGAUGCUGAAUCAGGUCUCUGAUCCCCAUGAGGAUAAAUCGACCAAACUGAUACAGUACUUCACUCAAACUGUUAAUGCUAUAACUUCCUGCUGGACCCUGCCUAAUAGCAAAUUUUUAUUUACAGGCUUCCAAAUGUUUCUCAUUGUGAGGUGUGAUGGAGCUGGGAAGUGAUGCACGUGGUAGUGCUGCAAGCAAAAGGUGACACUUGCAUGGAGUUUGAGAAAUAAAAUGGAUGUCUCUGAGGAAGUAACAACUACUGUGCUGUCUGCAGCCUCACUGGGUGAAGAGGCAACUCUGAAACUAGCAUAUGAGGAAUUGAGGAGGUGGAAGAUGGCUGAGAAAUGGGUUACACUUGAGUGAACAGCAUUAAAAAAGCCAUGUGUUUUUACCUCACUGGUUAUGUUUGCCUGAUGCUUAUUGGAGUGAAUAAAAAUCUGUAAACUCUA